rnacentral:rRNA from 1 species
UGGGGAAUAUUGGACAAUGGGGGGAACCCUGAUCCAGCCAUGCCGCGUGUGUGAAGAAGGCCUUAUGGUUGUAAAGCACUUUAAGCGAGGAGGAGGGUACUGGUAUUAAUACUACCAGGUACUGGACGUUACUCGCAGAAUAAGCACCGGCUAACUCUGUGCCAGCAGCCGCGGUAAUACAGAGGGUGCGAGCGUUAAUCGGAUUUACUGGGCGUAAAGCGUGCGUAGGCGGCUAAUUGAGUCGGAUGUGAAAUCCCCGAGCUUAACCUGGGAAUUGCAUUCGAUACUGGUUAGCUAGAGUGUGGGAGAGGAUGGUAGAAUUCCAGGUGUAGCGGUGAAAUGCGUAGAGAUCUGGAGGAAUACCGAUGGCGAAGGCAGCCAUCUGGCCUAACACUGACGCUGAGGUAAGAUAGGAUGGGGAGCAAACAGG